rnacentral:tRNA from 3 species
GCGGGGGUGCCCGAGCCAGGUCAAAGGGGCAGGGCUCAAGACCCUGUGGCGUAGGCCUACGUGGGUUCAAAUCCCACCCCCCGCACCA